rnacentral:rRNA from 1 species
GUAGGUGGCAAGCGUUGUCCGGGAAUUAUUGGGGCGUAAAGCGCGCGCAGGCGGUUCUUUAAGUCUGAUGUGAAAGCCCACGGGCUCAACCGUGGAGGGUCAUUGGAAACUGGAGAACUUGAGUACAGAAGAGGAAAGCGGAAUUCCACGUGUAGCGGUGAAAUGCGUAGAGAUGUGGAGGAACACCAGUGGCGAAGGCGGCUUUCUGGUCUGUAACUGACGCUGAGGCGCGAAAGCGUGGGGAGCAAACAGGAUUAGAUAUUUUGGUAGUCCACGCUGUAAACGAUGAGUGCUAAGUGUUAGGGGGUUUCCGCCCCUUAGUGCUGCAGCUAACGCAUUAAGCACUCCGCCUGGGGAGUACGGCCGCAAGGCUG